CCUACGGGAGGCAGCAGUGAGGAAUAUUGGUCAAUGGACGAGAGUCUGAACCAGCCAAGUAGCGUGAAGGAUGACUGCCCUAUGGGUUGUAAACUUCUUUUAUAUGGGAAUAAAAUGUUCCACGUGUGGGCUUUUGUAUGUACCAUAUGAAUAAGGAUCGGCUAACUCCGUGCCAGCAGCCGCGGUAAAACGGAGGAUCCGAGCGUUAUCCGGAUUUAUUGGGUUUAAAGGGGGCGUAGGUGGAUUGUUAAGUCAGUUGUGAAAGUUUGCGGCUCAACCGUAAAAUUGCAGUUGAAACUGGCAGUCUUGAGUAGAGUAGAGGUGGGCGGAAUUCGUGGUGUAGCGGUGAAAUGCUUAGAUAUCACGAAGAACUCCGAUUGCGAAGGCAGCUCACUGGACUGCAACUGACACUGAGGCUCGAAAGUGUGGGUAUCAAACAGGAUUAGAUACCCUGGUAGUC
rnacentral:rRNA from 1 species